UGAAUUCAUUUGUAGCAGCAUUAUUAAUUAAAAGAUUAUAGACUUUAGAGUCAUACACACUUGAAUUUUAAUACUUGCUCCAUUACAUGCUAAUAAUUCUUCUAAAUAUCCACUUCUUUCAUCUGUGAAAUGGGAUAAUAACAGUAAGGCAAAUUUUAUUUUAUUGUAAGAAAUUGCCAAAGCCACCCCAACCUUCAGCAACCAGCACGCUGAUCACUAAGCAGCCAUCAAUAUCAAGGCAAGACCUUCCACCAGCAAAAGAUUAUGACCUGACUUUCACAUAUGUAAAAUAAAUAUUAUCUAAGAGC
rnacentral:lncRNA from 1 species